AACGAACGCUGGCGGCAUGCCUAACACAUGCAAGUCGAACGAGACCUUCGGGUCUAGUGGCGCACGGGUGCGUAACGCGUGGGAACCUGCCCUUAGGUUCGGCAUAACUCCCCGAAAGGGGUGCUAAUACCGGAUAAUGUCUUCGGACCAAAGAUUUAUCGCCUUUGGAUGGGCCCGCGUUGGAUUAGCUAGUUGGUAGGGUAAAAGCCUACCAAGGCGACGAUCCAUAGCUGGUCUGAGAGGAUGAGCAGCCACACUGGGACUGAGACACGGCCCAGACUCCUACGGGAGGCAGCAGUGGGGAAUAUUGGACAAUGGGCGAAAGCCUGAACCAGCAAUGCCGCGUGAGUGAUGAAGGCCUUAGGGUUGUAAAGCUCUUUUACCCGGGAUGAUAAUGACAGUACCGGGAGAAUAAGCUCCGGCUAACUCCGUG
rnacentral:rRNA from 1 species